rnacentral:tRNA from 1 species
GUCCCUGUAGCGCAAUGGAUAGUGCGUUGAACUUCUAAUCCAAAGGUCGUGGCUUCGAAUCCCACCUGGGAUG